ACUCAUACCUUGCAGGGGAAAUACCAUGUAAUAAAAGUGGUUUCUUAGGGGGAGGCUCAUCCAUUGCAAUUUGGGUGUGCUGCUGAUCCCUGUGAUUUCCCCAAAUGUGGGGAACUCAACUGCAUAGUUUGUGUUAAUGGGAGAUUACAUUUGAUUUCCCU
rnacentral:snRNA from 1 species